rnacentral:rRNA from 1 species
UACAGAGGUCUCGAGCGUUGUUCGGAUUCAUUGGGCGUAAAGGGCUCGUAGGUGGCCAACUAAGUCAGACGUGAAAUCCCUCGGCUUAACCGGGGAACUGCGUCUGAUACUGGAUGGCUUGAGUUUGGGAGAGGGAUGCGGAAUUCCAGGUGUAGCGGUGAAAUGCGUAGAUAUCUGGAGGAACACCGGUGGCGAAGGCGGCAUCCUGGACCAACACUGACACUGAGGAGCGAAAGCCAGGGGAGCAAACGGG